AACGAACGCUGGCGGCAUGCCUAACACAUGCAAGUCGAACGAGACCUUCGGGUCUAGUGGCGCACGGGUGCGUAACGCGUGGGAACCUGCCCUUAGGUUCGGAAUAACUCCCCGAAAGGGGUGCUAAUACCGGAUAAUGUCUUCGGACCAAAGAUUUAUCGCCUUUGGAUGGGCCCGCGUUGGAUUAGCUAGUUGGUAGGGUAAAAGCCUACCAAGGCGACGAUCCAUAGCUGGUCUGAGAGGAUGAUCAGCCACACUGGGACUGAGACACGGCCCAGACUCCUACGGGAGGCAGCAGUGGGGAAUAUUGGACAAUGGGCGAAAGCCUGAUCCAGCAAUGCCGCGUGAGUGAUGAAGGCCUUAGGGUUGUAAAGCUCUUUUACCCGGGUUGAUAAUGACAGUACCGGGAGAAUAAGCACCGGCUAACUCCGUG
rnacentral:rRNA from 1 species